CAAAAAUACCCACCCAGUCGCUCUCUAUAAACAAAUAAUGCUCUGAUCUUCACAAUUUUUCUUCCACUAAACCAACUCCCAUCUUUCUCUGUAAACAUCUUGGAGUCCCUCGCGAUGUUCGUUGUUGAAGGGGUGAAAGGUUUGGUUGAUUGUUGAAGGAAUCGUCGUUGAGGUUCAAUUAGGGCUUUUGAACACUGUAAAGACCGUGAUUUGAAAGAUCUAAGAGGUACUAUUUCUGUAAAUAUAUAUUUAUAAAUAGGUUUUUUUUUUUUGGAUAAGUUAUAUAGGGUUCUUGAAUAUUUGUUUUUCUACUUUUGAUUAUGGUUUUCUAUGUUAUUUCUUGAUUUUGGAUUACUAUAACAACUAAUACAAAUGUCUACAACCAAAAAUUAUUUAGUUAUUUAGUGAUAAACAAUCCCCACUUCUACUGUUAUGGAUGAAUCCAAAACCAGGUUCUUAGUCAACUCAUUCGACUGAGAUAUUAAAAAUAUUCUCGUUUCUAAUUUAAAGAAAAAUAACUAUUCUUCCUUUUUACCUUCCCCCAUUCUAUGUCAAUUCAAGUUGAUUGUUUAAACUAAAAAUUAUUUACGGUAACCACUAUUGCAAAUUUUUUUUUUUUCUUUCUUUUCUGUCUCUUACAGUCGUUGAUUAUUUUGAUAUAGCAGUCGUUGAUUUUGGAUCAAACCUGAUAAUAAGGCUAAGCAUAGGAACAAAAAUGCCUCAAUGCCACCUACACUUUUGAAAACCGCUCCACAGAAUCCAAUUAUGGUACCAACAAGCAUUUGCUAGCCAAAAUUUCAUGUCCUGUAAACCAAAUUUCACAAUUGUGUACCUUAAGUUUCCACAAAUCAGUUACCAAAUAAUUGAGAUCAAGUAGAUGAACCAUUCUAUUUCUGUCCAUUUUUUCAUGGGCAUUUCUUCAAACACCAUUUUUUUUAGUUGCAAUUGUUUGGUUGUUUGGAGUUUUUGAGUUCUAGGUAAAUUGUUUUUGACUUGCAAUUGUCUGUUGCUCUAGUUGAUGGAGAAGUAUUACACCAUACAGUUGCAUUACUCUGGUACAAUUGAAGAGGCAAACCAAUAUGUUGGAGGAAGUAUUGGCAUCUGGGAUGGUUUGGAUCCCGAUAAAUUUUCCUUUUUAAAACUUAAAGACAUGGUAGAGAUGGUUGGCAUUGACACUAAUAACAGUAGAAUGUUCUAUAAGGACCCAAUUGAUGGACAACUCUUAUAACUUAAAAGUGACGUGGAUGUCUUGGAUAUGUUUGAGACAUACAAAAUGUUUACUUUAAUUCCAGUUUAUGUUAAGACUCCUAAAGUUGUGAAUGAGAUUGAAGCUCUGAAUAAGAUUGAAGUUGUGGGUGAGAUUGAAACUGCUAAUGAGGUUGAAACCACAAGGAUUAAUGCUAAAACAGAUGGUAUAGAUGCUGAAACUCAUGGUAUAGAUGCUUGUCAGUGGGGGAUUGUUGAUAACAUUGAUGAGGUCUCAGUGUAUGCUCCUAGUGAUGAGCUAUGCAGUGUAUAUAGCUCGUCAAGUGAAGAGGUUGUGACACAAACUAGAACACAUUAUGUUGAGCAGAGGGAUUUUGAAAAGGAGGAUUUCUCUUUCUUUAUAGGAAUGAAGUUUGCAUGUGCUAAAGAUUUCAAGGAUGCAUUAAGGCAUCACGCUAUAAAAAAUAAAUAUGAUUUUGAAUUCAAAAAGAAUGAACGCAAGAGGGUUACUGUUGUGUGUGUUAACAAGUGUGGUUGGAGGAUGCAAGCCUCCAAAAGGGGUAAGGAAGGCAAUUUUGUACUAAAAAAGUACCAAUCUACUCACAGUGACACUUGCUUUGAAACAGGUACCAAUAGGCAAGCAAUAUCCAGGUAUCUUGCAAAGAAAUAUGUUCAUAAGUUUAGGAUAGAACGAGAUUGGAAAAAUGCUGGAUUUAUAGGACAUAUUAAUGAGAACUUGGAUAUAGUGGUAUCUAGACACAAAGUUGGAAGGGCUAAAAAAAAGCUAUAGAGAUCAUUGAAGGGCAUAUGGAGGACCAGUUUAAAAAUUUGAGGGAGUAUAGAGAAUUGAUUAAGUCUUCAAAUCCUGGUAGUGUGUUUAAAGUAAAUGCAAAUUUGGAACCUGACCACAACUCUACAAGAUUUUAGAGAUGGUUGUUUUUGUUUGGAUGCAAUGGUGAAUGGAUUUAAAGAAAGAUGCAGGCCUUUCAUUGGACUUAAUGGAGCCUUCUUGAAAACUCCAUACAAAAGGCAAUUACUCAGUGCUGUUAGUAAAGAUGGAGAUAAUAGUUUUACCCAAUAGCACUUGUAGUUGUUGAAGCUGAAAAUAAUGAUAGUUGGGAGUGGUUUAUGGAGGAGCUAUUAGAUGUUAUUGGUGAUUAUAAUGAGAUAACAUGGAUUUCAGAUAGGCAAAAAGGUCUUAUUGAGGUGCUUGAAAGGAUGUUUCCUGAGUAGAUCACGGAUAUUGUGUAAGACAUAUUUAUGAUAACUUCAAAAAAAAAAAAAAAAAAAAUACCCUGGUGCAAUUUUAAGGACAAAAGUGUGGAAAGCAGCAAGCGUAUUCCAUAUUAGUGAUUUUGAGAAAGAAAUGACCAUCAUCAAUAGUAUAAACCAAGAAGCACAUGCAUGGUUGAAAAAAAUUGAUACUAAACUAUGGUCCAAGCAUAAGUUCACACAAACAUUAAAGUGUGAUUUAAACAGCGAUAACAUGUGUGAGUCAUGGAAUGGACAUAUCAAAACUGCAAGGGAGAAGCCAAUAAUUCACAUGUUUGAAAUGAUUAGAAUGAUGUUGAUGAAAAGGUAUAAAGAGAGGAGAGAGUAUAUGGAAGCUUAAACAGGGUUGUUAGUUCCAAAAGUGUACAAGCAGUUCAAGGAACGUACUUAAGAAAAAAGCAAAGAGUUGUAUAGUGCAGGGUUCUGGGCUACAUUUGUGUGAGGUUCAACUUGAAGGAAUGAAUGAUACUGUUGAUUUGGUAAGUAAGAGAUACACAUGCAAGGAGUGGCAGAUUACAGAAGUGCCAUGUGUGCAUGCAAUGGCUUCCAUUGUGAAGAGAAAGUUCAAUCCAGAGGAUUAUGUGCAUCCCUACUACUAUAGGGAAACGUUCUUGAAAGCAUAUCCUAUCAUAAGACCUCUUUCAUUGAGGAAUCUAAAGAGGAUAACUGGACUGGUACCAUUGAUUCCUCCACAUGUUAGGAUACCCCUAGAAAGACCAAAAAAAGCAAGAAAGAGAGGUGCAGAUGAAAAACAAAAACCCAAAUUUGUUUUUAGAUAAAGGGCCCAUAUAAAAUGUGGAAAAAGUGGCGAAAAAGGCCAUAACACAAAGACUUGCAAAAAUAAUGAAGCAGGACUACAACCUAUACCACAACCUAUUAGUAAGGGAGGUAGACCACGUCUUCCAAGAGUAGGACUACAUGUUUGUAUAGGUGAUGUUGGUGAUGAUGAAGGUGUUAGAAGCAGCCACAAUGAUGGAGGUGUUAGAAGCAUCCAUAAUAAUGGAGGUGUUGGAAGCAGCCAUGGUGCUGGAGGAGUCGGAAGUCAAAGAGGUGGAGUUCAAAGAGGUGCUAUAAGUGUCCCUUCUAUUGGAGUUGCAACAGUUCCUUUUAGUGGAAGAAGUGCUUAAAAUAUCCGUAAAGGCGUUACAACUUUCCCCAGAGGUGGAAGGGGUGCAAAUGUCCCUAAUAUUGGAGCUGCAAUGGAGGUUGCAAGUGUAUCUCAAGUUCCUGACAUGUGUUCAUAGAAUAUGGAGUAUGGCAAUGCAAAUGGACCAUAAAACUUUGUUGGCAUUUUUUUUUGGCAAUUAGGAUGUUGUCCUAGUGAUGAUUUAUCACAUGUAUUGUUCAUUUUUAUUUUUAUUUUUGGUUAAAUGAUGAUGGGAUGCAGUGUACUUGCCCCAAUUUUACUGAAUUAUAAAUUUUUUGGUAAA